GCACUCCCGGGGCGUCUCUAUCUCAUCGCGAGAGGAGGCGCACCUAGAGCGUACACGCUGAUACCCGAAAGAUGGUGAACUAUGCCUGGCCAGGACGAAGCCAGGGGAAACCCUGGUGGAGGUCCGCAGCGAUUCUGACGUGCAAAUCGAUCGUCGGAGCUGGGUUUAGGGGCGAAAGACCAAUCGAACCAUCUAGUAGCUGGUUCCCUCUGAAGUUUCCCUCAGGAUAGCUUGCGCUCGGAUGAAACGAGUCUCAUCCGGUAGAGCGAAUGAUUAGAGGCCUUGGGGUCGAAACGACCUCAACCUAUUCUCAAACUCCAAAUAGAUGAGAACCCCGGCUUUCUUGAACCCUGUUUAUGAAGCCGGGGGCUCGGAUCAGAGUGCCAAGUGGGCCAAUUUUGGUAAGCAGAACUGGCGCUGUGGGAUGAACCAAACGCGGAGUUAAGGCGCCUCAAUCGACGCUCAUGUGAAACCAUGAAAGGCGUUGGUUGCUUAAGACAGCAG
rnacentral:rRNA from 1 species